ensembl:snoRNA
CCUCCAUUUCUUGGCAUGCAUGUAGUUGUUUAGUACUCAUGUGUGUUAUGUACGGAGGAAAAACAAAUGCAGCGCUAUGUCUUCGGUGCCGGUGUGUCUUCUAUCGUCUGCCGGUUCUAUCCUCAAUCGCUGUUACAUUC